rnacentral:rRNA from 1 species
GAUGAACGCUGGCGGCGUGCCUAAUACAUGCAAGUCGAGCGAACGGACGAGAAGCUUGCUUCUCUGAUGUUAGCGGCGGACGGGUGAGUAACACGUGGAUAACCUACCUAUAAGACUGGGAUAACUUCGGGAAACCGGAGCUAAUCCCGGAUAAUAUUUUGAACCGCAUGGUUCAAAAGUGAAAGACGGUCUUGCUGUCACUUAUAGAUGGAUCCGCGCUGCAUUAGCUAGUUGGUAAGGUAACGGCUUACCAAGGCAACGAUGCAUAGCCGACCUGAGAGGGUGAUCGGCCACACUGGAACUGAGACACGGUCCAGACUCCUACGGGAGGCAGCAGUAGGGAAUCUUCCGCAAUGGGCGAAAGCCUGACGGAGCAACGCCGCGUGAGUGAUGAAGGUCUUCGGAUCGUAAAACUCUGUUAUUAGGGAAGAACAUAUGUGUAAGUAACUGUGCACAGCUUGACGGUACCUAAUCAGAAAGCCACGGCUAACUACGUG